CGCGUAGGCGGUUUGGCAAGUCUGACGUGAAAUGUACCGGUUCAACCGGGGCGCUGUGUCAGAAACUGCCUUACUUGAGGUCGAGGGAGGAGAGUGGAAUUCCUGGUGUAGCGGUGAAAUGCGUAGAUAUCAGGAGGAACACCCGUGGCGAAGGCGGCUCUCUAUCUCGAUUCUGACGCUGAGGCGCGAAAGCUAGGGGAGCAAACG
rnacentral:rRNA from 1 species